rnacentral:rRNA from 1 species
AAGUCGAGCGGUAGCACAGAGAGCUUGCUCUCGGGUGACGAGCGGCGGACGGGUGAGUAAUGUCUGGGAAACUGCCUGAUGGAGGGGGAUAACUACUGGAAACGGUAGCUAAUACCGCAUAAUGUCGCAAGACCAAAGUGGGGGACCUUCGGGCCUCAUGCCAUCAGAUGUGCCCAGAUGGGAUUAGCUAGUAGGUGGGGUAACGGCUCACCUAGGCGACGAUCCCUAGCUGGUCUGAGAGGAUGACCAGCCACACUGGAACUGAGACACGGUCCAGACUCCUACGGGAGGCAGCAGUGGGGAAUAUUGCACAAUGGGCGCAAGCCUGAUGCAGCCAUGCCGCGUGUGUGAAGAAGGCCUUCGGGUUGUAAAGCACUUUCAGCGGGGAGGAAGGCGGUGAGGUUAAUAACCUUGUCGAUUGACGUUACCCGCAGAAGAAGCACCGGCUAACUCCGUGCCAGCAGCCGCGGUAAUACGGAGGGUGCAAGCGUUAAUCGGAAUUACUGGGCGUAAAGCGCACGCAGGCGGUCUGUCAAGUCGGAUGUGAAAUCCCCGGGCUCAACCUGGGAACUGCAUUCGAAACUGGCAGGCUAGAGUCUUGUAGAGGGGGGUAGAAUUCCAGGUGUAGCGGUGAAAUGCGUAGAGAUCUGGAGGAAUACCGGUGGCGAAGGCGGCCCCCUGGACAAAGACUGACGCUCAGGUGCGAAAGCGUGGGGAGCAAACAGGAUUAGAUACCCUGGUAGUCCACGCCGUAAACGAUGUCGAUUUGGAGGUUGUGCCCUUGAGGCGUGGCUUCCGGAGCUAACGCGUUAAAUCGACCGCCUGGGGAGUACGGCCGCAAGGUUAAAACUCAAAUGAAUUGACGGGGGCCCGCACAAGCGGUGGAGCAUGUGGUUUAAUUCGAUGCAACGCGAAGAACCUUACCUGGUCUUGACAUCCACAGAACUUACCAGAGAUGGAUUGGUGCCUUCGGGAACUGUGAGACAGGUGCUGCAUGGCUGUCGUCAGCUCGUGUUGUGAAAUGUUGGGUUAAGUCCCGCAACGAGCGCAACCCUUAUCCUUUGUUGCCAGCGGUCCGGCCGGGAACUCAAAGGAGACUGCCAGUGAUAAACUGGAGGAAGGUGGGGAUGACGUCAAGUCAUCAUGGCCCUUACGACCAGGGCUACACACGUGCUACAAUGGCAUAUACAAAGAGAAGCGACCUCGCGAGAGCAAGCGGACCUCAUAAAGUAUGUCGUAGUCCGGAUUGGAGUCUGCAACUCGACUCCAUGAAGUCGGAAUCGCUAGUAAUCGUAGAUCAGAAUGCUACGGUGAAUACGUUCCCGGGCCUUGUACACACCGCCCGUCACACCAUGGGAGUGGGUUGCAAAAGAAGUAGGUAGCUUAACCUUCGGGAGGGCG